UACGGAGGGAGCUAGCGUUGUUCGGAAUUACUGGGCGUAAAGCGCACGUAGGCGGCUUUGUAAGUUAGAGGUGAAAGCCCGGGGCUCAACUCCGGAACUGCCUUUAAGACUGCAUCGCUUGAACAUCGGAGAGGUAAGUGGAAUUCCGAGUGUAGAGGUGAAAUUCGUAGAUAUUCGGAAGAACACCAGUGGCGAAGGCGACUUACUGGACUCAUAUUGACGCUGAGGUGCGAAAGCGUGGGGAGCAAACAGG
rnacentral:rRNA from 1 species